UACUCAGGGUGCAAGCGUUAAUCGGAAUUACUGGGCGUAAAGGGUGCGUAGGCGGUUGUUUAAGUCUGUCGUGAAAUCCCCGGGCUCAACCUGGGAAUGGCGAUGGAUACUGGGCAGCUAGAGUGUGUCAGAGGAUGGUGGAAUUCCCGGUGUAGCGGUGAAAUGCGUAGAGAUCGGGAGGAACAUCAGUGGCGAAGGCGGCCAUCUGGGACAACACUGACGCUGAAGCACGAAAGCGUGGGGAGCAAACAGG
rnacentral:rRNA from 1 species